UACGUAGGUCCCGAGCGUUGUCCGGAUUUAUUGGGCGUAAAGCGAGCGCAGGUGGUUUAAUAAGUCUGAUGUAAAGGGCAGUGGCUCAACCAUUGUGUGCAUUGGAAACUGUUAGACUUGAGUGCAGUAGAGGAGAGUGGAAUUCCAUGUGUAGCGGUGAAAUGCGUAGAUAUAUGGAGGAACACCGGUGGCGAAAGCGGCUCUCUGGACUGUAACUGACACUGAGGCUCGAAAGCGUGGGUAGCAAACAGG
rnacentral:rRNA from 1 species